CCUACGGGUGGCAGCAGUGGGGGAUAUUGCACAAUGGGGGAAACCCUGAUGCAGCGACGCCGCGUGAGGGAAGAAGGAUUUCGGUAUGUAAACCUCUGUCAGCAGGGAAGAAAAUGACAGUACCUGACCAAGAAGCCCCUGCUGACUACGUGCCAGCAGCCGCGGUAAUACGUAGGGGGCGAGCGUUAGCCGGAUUGACUGGGUGUAAAGGGAGCGUAGACGGUUAUGUAAGUCUGGAGUGAAAGCCCGGGGCCCAACCCCGGGACUGCUUUGGAAACUGUGUAACUGGAGUACAGGAGGGGAAGGCGGAAUUCCUGGUGUAGCGGUGAAAUGCGUAGAUAUCAGGAGGAACACCGGUGGCGAAGGCGGCCAGCUGGAAUGAAACUGACGCUGAGGAGCGAAAGCGUGGGGAGCAAACAGGAUUAGAUACCCUAGUAGUC
rnacentral:rRNA from 1 species